rnacentral:rRNA from 1 species
UACGAAGGGGGGCGAGCGUUGUUCGGAAUCACUGGGCGUAAAGGGCGCGUAGGCGGCCCCUCCUAGUCGCGUGUGAAAGCCCCGGGCUCAACCUGGGAACGGCGCGCGAAACGGGGGGCUGGAGUUCGGGAGAGGAGCGUGGAAUUCCCAGUGUAGAGGUGAAAUUCGUAGAUAUCAGGAAGAACACCCAAAUGGCGAAGGCAGCUCGUCUGGGACGGUACUGACGCUGAGACGCGAAAGCGUGGGGAGCGAACAGG